rnacentral:rRNA from 1 species
GGCGGUAUUUUAGUCUAUUCAGAGGAACCUGUUCUGUAAUCGAUAAUCCACGAUGGACCUUACUUAAGUUUGUAAUCAGUUUAUAUACCGUCGUUAUUAGAAUAUUUUAUAAGAAUGUUAAUUUUCAUAAUUUUAGAAAAUAAAGUAUAUCAGAUCAAGGUGUAGCUAAUAUUUAAGUAGAAAUGGGUUACAAUAAAAUUAUUUAAACGAAUAUAAAUUUGAAAUGUUUAUUGAAGGUGGAUUUGAUAGUAAAAUUAUAAAGAUUAAUAAUUUGAUUUUAGCUCUAAAAUAUGCACACAUCGCCCGUCACUCUUAUUAUUAAGGUAAGAUAAGUCGUAACAUAGUAGAUGUACUGGAAAGUGUACCUAGAAUGCAAUUUAAAGCUUAUUUAGUAAAGUAUUUCAUUUACAUUGAAAAGAUUUUUGUGCAAAUCAAUAUAAAUUGAUUAGAUUUUAUUUAUUAAUUUUUUUUUGUUUAAUUUAAAUUAUUAAAAAUAAUUAUACAAUGAAUUGUUUUAGUAUUUAAUAAAGAAAAAAUAAUAUUAAUUAUAGUGUAAU